UAAAGGAGUUUAGGAUGACAGCCAUCAU
rnacentral:sRNA from 1 species